CAAGAGGCUCUUUUGGAGCCACACACAUACCAUAAAACAUAAAA
rfam:Astyanax mexicanus Tnplaced_Scaffold3319, whole genome shotgun sequence.